AUUCUUCUCUGCCCGGAGUAAAUAGAUCAGCUUGCAUUCUCUGGGGGUGGGGAGAAUGUAAUUUACAGAUGCUAGUUAAGGUCAUGGUCAUGAAACUUCUCAGUUUUCAUCCCUUCGACCUGCGCGUAUUGAAAAUAUGUAUUUUGACCAGUUCUAAAGAUGAUUUACAUUGCUUUGAAGGUCUGGGAAUGACCUACAAUUAGUUCAGAGGUUAAGUUGUAAGCAUUCAAAGCAUUUGGUUUUGUGUUAAUCCUUAAGGGAGCUGUCAGUAAAUAGUGUGGGGAGGGGGCCGGUUUGAGGGAAAAGAGGUAACUUGACAACCUUCUUUUGAAGUAACAAUCCUUUUCAUCCAGGUAUACUUUUAUAUCUUUAGGAUGGUUUGGAAAGAAAGUCUCACUUCUGGAAACUGGCAAAUUCAGUAAAGCUUUUAAAAUAAAAGGCAGACAAUCUUGAGUUUUUGUAGACUCAUGCACUAUGGGACAAAAAGAGCAAAGACUUCUCACUAAAAGAAAAUAGUUGUUUAAGACAGAGAUUCAGGAUGUCUGAAUCCUGGGCAGGUCCUCGGAACCCCCUUUUCCUCAGGAACUUGACCUCUCUGCAGGGGUUUUGGUUGGCAACUACUGUUUCCCUAAAGAGUGGAGCUUUUGAGUUCUUUGUUCCAGGAUUGGUUGGUGAAAACAAUGCCACUCAAAUGCCUACUGUUAGAGUUAUGCAGAAAACCCAGGUAACUUGGCAGAAAUCCUUCUUUUGUUAGGUUAAUAUAUCUUCUCCCUUUUAUAAGUGUAUGGUAAUUCUCAAACCUGCUGAACUAGGAGUCACCUGGGGGUGAAAUUAGAACCAUAAAAGGGAAGAACAGGGGAAUCCUCAUUUUGUAACAAGAGUUUCUGGUAAUUCUAUGAAUAAGCCUGCGCACCUGUAGCAGGUGAUCUCACUGAGCUACAUAAUGAUGGCCGAGUCUACCCUUUUUUUCUUUUUGAAAGAAUAUGAAAUUCACCUGCUUCCAUGGCUCCAUGGCCCCUUAUCAUUUGCUUCUGGUUACCGAGAACCUCAGAUCGAUUCUGAUUUUGCAAGCAGACCUGCUACCUUGCUAGCAAGAUUUCCCAAAGCCUCAACAGUUCUUCAGUCCUCUGAUUACAAAGGGAAGGCAGAAGAGAGCAAAAACACAGGCUUCCUCAGCCAGGGGGCUGUAGGCCACACGCAGCCACAAGCAGGCUUUGUUUGGCUCAUGGACUUUCUAAAAACGUUUGAAUUGGAAGCCAGCAUUGGAAAACCCUUCAAGCUGGGAUUUCCAGCUUUUCCUGAAAAAUCUGACAAGUUGGCUGCAGUAGGCCCAUGAUCCCAAGAGGGAGCCCUCAGAUGAGAUCGAAUGCUGCCUCCCCUUCCCCCACCCCUUAGAGGGAUGGCUCUCCAGGUUGCCACAGGCUCUACCGCUCCUUAUGCCCAACCCCAGGCCAAGGUCCUUGCCACUGGCUUCUGACNNNNNNNNNNNNNNNNNNNNNNNNNNNNNNNNNNNNNNNNNNNNNNNNNNNNNNNNNNNNNNNNNNNNNNNNNNNNNNNNNNNNNNNNNNNNNNNUUGUCAACAGCUAAUAAAAAUAGUAAGUUACCCUUUUUGGAAAACUUACUCUGUUGGGUGAUAUGCUAAGUGCUUUGGGCAUCUUUCUUGGUCCUCACAAUGCUGUGAGGUGGGUGCGAUUGCACGCAUGUGAGAGAUGAGGAAACAGUUCAGACUUGGCUCAUGUUGUCUGUUGCACCUGAUGGUGUCAGAGGAUGAAAAGAAGUGGUAUGGGGGGCCCUGCCCUCCAUCUCUUCUGCAACCAAUGGUUUCUGAUGGGCAAGCCCUUUUAGGCAUCUUUGUAAAUGAUGCAUAGCUUGGGACAAGGCACAUCCCACUGAGAUAGAUGCCACUCCAUCCCAGGGAAUUGUUGGUCCCCACACAGGUCCCAUAGAUAUCAUGCAUUUAGUUUACAGGGCAGAUUAUAAUAAAAAUUGAGCAAAGUUUGUAACUUGAACUGCUUCCAACAUCUCAACCAUCUGAUCCAUAAAAGGAACAUUUGAACUCACCCUGAAAUGUUCCUGGGCGGAAGGGCGAGGCGGGGGGAGGAAAUUGUUGCAUUUGUUUCAAUCUAGUGGAAAGGCUUCAUUCUUAGUAAAAUGCACACAAAUGUCUCAAUAUUUGGUAUCCUGGCUGCCAUUAGACUUGCUUUCAAAUAAUAUUCUCUUCUAGAUGACAUAGUUUGAAAUUCAUAGCAUUAAAACUUUUAGAGUAACAUCUUCUGUGUAACAAACCAAGACAUGGAAAAAAAUAUUCUCUGUGCAUUUGGAGCCAGCUCUUUUUAGUAUCAAAGACUGAUUUCGGAGGCUCCUCAUUUGUCUACAAAAACUUUUAACAGUUCUUUGCUCAACAGAAUUUUGUUUUGUUUUUAACUGUAAAC
rnacentral:lncRNA from 1 species